rnacentral:rRNA from 1 species
GAAUUUUAUAUAAUUUUGUUAAAAUUGAUUAAUUUAAAUAAAUAAUAAAUUUAUAUUUUGUUGGGAGGAUAAUUAAAUUAAAUAAACUUUAAUAAUGUAAAAAUCAUUAAUUUAUGGUUAUUAAAAAAUGAGUGAUUAUUAUAAUUAAAUAGAAUUAAUUACCUUAGGGAUAACAGCGUAAUAUCUUUAGAGAGAUCUUAUUAAUAAAGAUGUUUGU